rnacentral:tRNA from 1 species
AGAUUGAAUGGAAAAUA